rnacentral:rRNA from 1 species
UCACCAUCGACGAAGGUUCGGGUUUUCUCGGAUUGACGGUAGGUGGAGAAGAAGCACCGGCCAACUACGUGCCAGCAGCCGCGGUAAUACGUAGGGUGCGAGCGUUGUCCGGAAUUACUGGGCGUAAAGAGCUCGUAGGUGGUUUGUCGCGUUGUUCGUGAAAUCUCACGGCUUAACUGUGAGCGUGCGGGCGAUACGGGCAGACUAGAGUACUGCAGGGGAGACUGGAAUUCCUGGUGUAGCGGUGGAAUGCGCAGAUAUCAGGAGGAACACCGGUGGCGAAGGCGGGUCUCUGGGCAGUAACUGACGCUGAGGAGCGAAAGCGUGGGGAGCGAACAGGAUUAGAUACCCUGGUAGUCCACGCCGUAAACGGUGAGUACUAGGUGUGGGUUUCCUUCCUUGGGAUCCGUGCCGUAGCUAACGCAUUAAGUACCCCGCCUGGGGAGUACGGCCGCAAGGCUAAAACUCAAAGGAAUUGACGGGGGCCCGCACAAGCGGCGGAGCAUGUGGAUUAAUUCGAUGCAACGCGAAGAACCUUACCUGGGUUUGACAUGCACAGGACGCGUCUAGAGAUAGGCGUUCCCUUGUGGCCUGUGUGCAGGUGGUGCAUGGCUGUCGUC